UUGAAUUCCCCUGCCUAAGAAGAGAGGAGAACUGUUGAUGUAGUGGGAACCCUCCCUCCUCGAACAUUAACUGGGUUGACCCCACCCCUCUCUUCACAGGCUGUCUUCAGUCCAAUCAAGAUCGGAAAGCAGGAUCAAGAGAAAGAUGAUCAGACCGGAACAGGUAAACGUUCCAUACAGAGAUGCUUCGGAAGUGCGGAGAAGUGAACAGUUUAUCCCCUCUCAGGCCGUCAUGUUGUCUCAGCAGACCCUCUGAAUUACUGAUGUCAGAACUUACUGACUGGGGUACAGCACACAAGCAAUUGGUAGAGUUUUAAGACAUUAAAAGACGGUGAUUUCAG